AGUGAACGCUGGCGGUAGGCCUAACACAUGCAAGUCGAACGGCAGCACAGUAAGAGCUUGCUCUUACGGGUGGCGAGUGGCGGACGGGUGAGGAAUACAUCGGAAUCUACUUUUUCGUGGGGGAUAACGUAGGGAAACUUACGCUAAUACCGCAUACGACCUACGGGUGAAAGCAGGGGAUCUUCGGACCUUGCGCGAUUGAAUGAGCCGAUGUCGGAUUAGCUAGUUGGCGGGGUAAAGGCCCACCAAGGCGACGAUCCGUAGCCGGUCUGAGAGGAUGGUCAGCGACACUGGAGCUGAGACACGGUCCAGACUCCUACGGGAGGCAGCAGUGGGGAAUAGUGGACAAUGGGCGCAAGCCUGAUCCAGCCAUACCGCGUGGGUGAAGAAGGCCUUCGGGUUGUAAAGCCCUUUUGUUGGGAAAGAAAAGCAGCAGGUUAAUACCACGCUGUUCUGACGGUACCCAGAGAAUAAGCACCGGCUAACUUCGUG
rnacentral:rRNA from 1 species